ACAAGUACCGUGAGGGAAAGUUGAAAAGCACUCUGAAGAGAGAGUUAAACAGUACGUGAAAUCGGUAGGAUCGAAACGGAUAGAGUCGACGUAUCUAGCUCGUAUUCAGCGAGUGCGCGUUGUUUGCGGCUUUUGGUCGGCGUGGCUUUCGCGAGUCGCGCCGGUCGGGGGUUGUACGGCGGCGUGUGCUUGUGUUUUGCGGGCUAUUGUGCGCUGGGGCAAGCGCGUUGGUCGCCGGCUGCCGCGGAGACGAGGAUGCACACUUCGGUGUGUAAAACCGGCUCUCGGUUAGUGGGCGGUUCGGCGUGCUUGUGGUCAACUACUUGAUCGGUUGCGCGGUUGCGUGUGUUCGUUUACGCAGUGCAUGGCGGUCGCUUGCGACACGUGUGCACGGUUGAUUCGACGCGCGUGGCGGUUGUGCCGAUUGCCCGGUGUAAAAGUCGAUCAUCUAUCCGACCCGUCUUGAAACACGGACCAAGGAGUUUAACGUAUGCGCGAGUCAUUGAGCGUCGAAAACUCAAAGGCGUAAUGAAAGUGAAGACACUCUCGAAGUGUUGAUACGCGAUCGGCGGCGUCACGGCGUCGCCGAGCAGCGUAGCCCCGUUCUUGUCGCUUGCGAUGGGGCGGAGGUAGAGCGUAUGCGUUGAGACCCGAAAGAUGGUGAACUAUACUUGAGCAGGACGAAGUCAGAGGAAACUCUGAUGGAAGUCCGAAUCGAUUCUGACGUGCAAAUCGAUCGUCUGACUUGCGUAUAGGGGCGAAAGACUAAUCGAACUAUCUAGUAGCUGGUUCCUUCCGA
rnacentral:rRNA from 1 species